rnacentral:rRNA from 1 species
UCKAAAUCAGGUGGGAUUACCCG